AACGAACGCUGGCGGCAUGCCUAACACAUGCAAGUCGAACGAGACCUUCGGGUCUAGUGGCGCACGGGUGCGUAACGCGUGGGAACCUGCCCUUAGGUUCGGAAUAACUCCCCGAAAGGGGUGCUAAUACCGGAUAAUGUCUUCGGACCAAAGAUUUAUCGCCUUUGGAUGGGCCCGCGUUGGAUUAGCUAGUUGGUAGGGUAAAAGCCUACCAAGGCGACGAUCCAUAGCUGGUCUGAGAGGAUGAUCAGCCACACUGGGACCGAGACACGGCCCAGACGCCUACGGGAGGCAGCAGUGGGGAAUAUUGGACAAUGGGCGAAAGCCUGAUCCAGCAAUGCCGCGUGAGUGAUGAAGGCCUUAGGGUUGUAAAGCUCUUUUACCCGGGAUGAUAAUGACAGUACCGGGAGAAUAAGCUCCGGCUAACUCCGUG
rnacentral:rRNA from 1 species